GCUGGCCCUGAGAGCCGGCGCAGAGCGGAGGGAGGGCGGCGGGAGCCCGGUAACGAUCGUAACGGAAGGGCCGCCGGGGGAAAGGGGCACCGCGGUCUCCUGCAGCAGCCCCGCGGCCAGGGCCCGGCUCCAAACCGCGGUCCCGGCGCGGAGCAGGAAAACAGCAGCGGAAAGAACGAGAUGGUACUCGGCUCUUGCCUCGGAGCUAUGCGCAGAGCAGGGGAUGAUCCACCCGCUCCCUUCGGGGUGCAGCGGGGCUGCCAGAAUGGGGGAAACUCAAAAUAUCGGCAGGAUGCAAUGCUUGGCUGUCCCAGGCGCAAAGUUUGGGGUGCAGAACGAGAAGUGAGAUGCAGAGAGCCAAGGCCUCUGCUUUCAGCCGCUGAAGCAGGCGGGUUUUCCCUGAGGACACACUGCCAACCCUGUGCUGUCAUCCCUGUGCUUCCAGAGCAGAACCGAGCUGUGGGAUGCUUCCUAUCGGGACACCCGUUUCAACCUGCUCAUUCCUAAAACACACAGAAUAAUACAGAGCCGAUAAGACAUUUGCCUGUGUGUUCUUGUCCCUGGGAUAUGUAACAUGCUUUUAUGUUCUGAUCUGGCUCGCUUGAACGAGACUGCUGAAAACAGCACAGCCAGCAGCUGUGUGCAGGAGGAAACAAUGGACUUGCUUUUUCUUCACUGCAGAAUUGCAGCCUGGAGGUGAGGAAACUUUGCUUCGCUCACCAUAUUCCUCCCGAGCGCUGCGGCAGAGGAAAUAAAAGGCUCUUGUGUUCCUGUAUCCUCCCGGGC
rnacentral:lncRNA from 1 species